GGAGGAAAAGAAACUAACAAGGAUUCCCCUAGUAACUGCGAGUGAAGCGGGAAAAGCUCAAAUUUAAAAUCUGGCGGUCUCUGGCCGUCCGAGUUGUAAUCUAGAGAAGUGUUGCCCGUGCUGGACCGUGUACAAGUCUCCUGGGAUGGGGCGUCAUAGAGGGUGAGAAUCCCGUCUUUGACACGGACUACCAGUACAUUGUGGUAUGCUCUCAAAGAGUCGAGUUGUUUGGGAAUGCAGCUCAAAAUGGGUGGUAAAUUCCAUCUAAAGCUAAAUAUUGGCGAGAGACCGAUAGCGAACAAGUACCGUGAGGGAAAGAUGAAAAGAACUUUGGAAAGAGAGUUAAACAGUACGUGAAAUUGCUGAAAGGGAAACGCUUGAAGUCAGUCACGUUGGCCGGGGAUCAGCCUUGCUUUUGCUUGGUGUACUUCCUGGUUGACGGGUCAGCAUCAAUUUUGACCGCUGGAUAAAGGCUUGGGGAAUGUGGCAGCUUCGGCUGUGUUAUAGCCCCUGGUUGCAUACAGUGGUUGGGAUUGAGGAACUCAGCACGCCGCAAGGCCGGGUUUCGACCACGUUCGUGCUUAGGAUGCUGGCAUAAUGGCUUUAAGCGACCCGUCUUGAAACACGGACCAAGGAGUCUAACAUGCCUGCGAGUAUUUGGGUGGAAAACCCAAGUGCGCAAUGAAAGUGAAAGUUGAGAUCCCUGUCGUGGGGAGCAUCGACGCCCGGACCAGAACUUUUGGGACGGAUCCGCGGUGGAGCAUGUAUGUUGGGACCCGAAAGAUGGUGAACUAUGCCUGAAUAGGGUGAAGCCAGAGGAAACUCUGGUGGAGGCUCGUAGCGAUUCUGACGUGCAAAUCGAUCGUCAAAUUUGGGUAUAGGGGCGAAAGACUAAUCGAACCAUCUAGUAGCUGGUUCCUGCCGAAGUUUCCCUCAGGAUAGCAGAAACUCAUAUCAGAUUUAUGUGGUAAAGCGAAUGAUUAGAGGCCUUGGGGUUGAAACAACCUUAACCUAUUCUCAAACUUUAAAUAUGUAAGAACGAGCCGUUUCUUGAUUGAACCGCUCGGCGAUUGAGAGUUUCUAGUGGGCCAUUUUUGGUAAGCAGAACUGGCGAUGCGGGAUGAACCGAACGU
rnacentral:rRNA from 1 species